AGAUGGAGCCUGGUGGGACGAUAAGAUGUUAGGUUCUUCCCCUGUCAUGGUAGGUACACCAUCUGCCGGAGGGACCAAAGGAGGUGAAAGAGGACAAGGGUGAAUCUCGGCAGAGAAGGUACGCAGGCUGGGUUGUUUUUCUGUUUUACAAUGGUCAGUACUAAUUUGCUUAGUAACUGGCAAAGUCAUCUCCUUCGUCAGAGGAGGAAGCAUCGGGAACGACACCAGAGGAAGGCUCAAAGGGUGAAGCCGACCCUGGGUCUGGUUUCUCCUGCGGGAGAGACGAUUGGGUCUGGGGUUGAAGAGGUAAGGGAUGUUAUGAGGGUUCAGGACCUGGUGUAGAAGGCUUAGAGAGGGUCACUGGGAUGUGGUUUACAGAAGUUAAAGAAAUGGUGUCAGUUGGGUUGGUCUGUGUUGGCAAGGUGACCGGAGGUGGACGUGGUCUGACCACCGGGAGGCGUUGUGGUAGAGGAGGGUAGCCUCUCCAUGGUGGCUGAGGGGCUGGUACAGUCUUAGAAGUAGGAGGAAAGUGUCGGAUCAAACCAAGAGAAAAUGGUGGGAGGGAGAGAAGAGAAGGAAUAGGUAAAGGCCUGGAAGGUAGGAUGAGUGUAUUGCGGUGUUUAAAGGGAAAUUAAGCUGUUGGGGGUCGUGUAGGAAGUGGUGGGAAGGCUGUGUGGUCCGAGAUGAGCAACGGAGCAGCAGGUGCUAAUGGAUCAAUGGUAGGACUGUUUAAUAAUGAGCGAAGUGUAAUGAUGGAUGAGGGAGUCAGGCCUCUGCCGUAUCUUUGGCGGGCCCAUCUAAGAGCUCUCUCAAGGGCCUCUUCACUAAAUGUGCUCAUGGUCAAGGGUGAAUCCUUUUGAAUUCUAUUAUAGUGCUUUGUUAAAGUCGUUAAGUUGUUGUUCAACCAUUCAAUGGUAUUAUUCUUAAUUUCAGAUAAGACAAUCUCGUCCGGUGCCGCCGGUUUGAUGAAGGCUGUGAGGAUUAACCUUGGAAGGUGGAGGCUUCUGUGGCACUGUGUUAUAGGUACCCAAUAGGCUAAACCUAUUUUUGAAAGAGUUUGCCAUAUUGAAGGGGGGGCCCAGACUAAUUACUAAGAAGAAUAAGACAACGAGGGAGGGGGUUGGAGUAUAAGAAAAAGGAGAGUAGGGGGAAAACAGAAGAAAAAAAGAGAAAAAUGCAAAAUAAACUAAAAUAAGGUUAAACUGAAAUUUGCUUUGAAAAAAAGAUAGAUAAAAAGAUAAACUAAAACAGAUGUAACAUGGGAGUCAGAAUAUAGAAUAACUAGACAUAGAUCAAUGGUAAAAGGUUGGUAAGAUGAUGUAGGUCCAAUAGGUUGAUGGGUUGUUUUAGCUGGAGCAGGUCAGGAAACAAAAAUGUUUGUUGGUUGACUGGUGGUUAUGGGCUGGUGGUAAUUCCAAAUAGGCAAUUAAAGAAUAGUUCAAGGGAAGAAGGGCAGGUGGAGUAGACCGGUUGGUGGAAAUAUUUGGUCGGUCUUCAGCGUACACACAUACAUAUAGGUGUAUAUAUGUGUAUACACAGACCCACGUCCAAAAAACACACACACAGACGACCACACUCUCCUCUAGGUUGAGAACAGAGCGAGGAAGGCAGGAGUGAGUAUUCGUUUUUUCUCCGUGUUAGCUUCCCAAAGUCUUUCGUGUAUAAACACCUUAGAAAAAACUCUUGAACUGAUCACGCAGAUGUUGGGGUACUCACCGCCCAAUAGACCACCAGGAAAAAAGGAGAGGGUAAAACAACCCCACUCGACGUCGUUGGCAGGUUUGGGCUCCAUAAAUCCGGGACCAGGAUGUAGCAAGGAGGAGGGGCCGGAGAGUGGAAAGCUACCAGGAAGGGGAGUAGACCAAGGCACUUUAAAGGUACUACAAAAGAAAAAAAGCAUGUAAAUAAAUCAAGCAUAAAGUUAGAAUGAUAUGGCUAGGCUCUGGCAAGGUUAGGUUGAGUAUGAGGCACUCAACCAUGUGCCGCACAGCGGCACAUGGGAGAGUGGAUGGCACGGGCACAAGCAAAUAUAUUAACAUAAUAAUUUUGGCUUAAAAAUAAUAAUAAUAAAAUAAAAUAAAACAAUGAAUAAGACUAAAUGGUUGGGGUAGUGGGAAGAGCCGUAACAUAAACAAGGAAGGUUAAGGUUAGGAAUGGGGUGAAAAAGGUUAUGUUUAGGUAAGAGAAUGAAGGGGGUUAUGUUAAAGAUCCCAUGCCAUUCUA